AUGACAAUAACGUUCGGUGAAGCUGAUCAGCAGAAAGAAAUCAUAAUAACAAAGGAAGGCAUCCACAAGGUGUUUGGAUACCCAAACGGUACGCAAAAGUUAGCACCAAGGCCACAGAUUUCCACCGAUACAGUGAGUGAACUGGUCACAGAACUUGGCCUCAAGAAAAUGGAUUUCCAUCACGACGAUCUGUUUAAAGAACUAGAAAAUUUGGUGAAAGAAGAUGACAAACAAUCAAACAGGAAAUCAGUUAAAAUAUUUUUCCUUAUUUUUUUCCACAACGUUGUCUGUGGAACAACCUCCCCUACCUUCAGCAAACAAGCCAUUAUGGUCAAGGACUUGGACUAUCCAGAAAUGGCAAAGAUGGAUUUCUACCAGGUAAUCGUCGAAAGUAUUAAGGAAGGAGCCAAGAUAUGGCAGAAGCACAGGUUGUUGCCUCAGGAAGAAAAGAACAAAAAGCAUCUCAAUGGUUUGGCACAGGGACCAGUAAUAAUGUACCUCGACUGCCUGCUGCUGCCGACCGACACAAAACAAAUGCGCAAGAUUGCCAAGACAAUGGACAAGACAUCAUUACCAUGA
rnacentral:rRNA from 1 species